rnacentral:rRNA from 1 species
UACGUAGGGACCAAGCGUUGUUCGGAUUUACUGGGCGUAAAGGGCGCGUAGGCGGCGUGACAAGUCACUUGUGAAAUCUCCGGGCUUAACUCGGAACGGUCAAGUGAUACUGUUGUGCUAGAGUACAGAAGGGGCAAUCGGAAUUCUUGGUGUAGCGGUGAAAUGCGUAGAUAUCAAGAGGAACACCAGAGGCGAAGGCGGAUUGCUGGGCUGAUACUGACGCUGAGGAGCGAAAGCUAGGGUAGCAAACGGG